rnacentral:rRNA from 1 species
AUACGUAGGUGGCAAGCGUUAUCCGGAUUUACUGGGUGUAAAGGGCGCGUAGGCGGGGGUGCAAGUCAGAUGUGAAAUCUAUGGGCUUAACUCAUAAACUGCAUUUGAAACUGUAUCUCUUGAGUGCUGGAGAGGUAGACGGAAUUCCUUGUGUAGCGGUGAAAUGCGUAGAUAUAAGGAAGAACACCAGUGGCGAAGGCGGUCUACUGGACAGUAACUGACGCUGAGGCGCGAAAGCGUGGGGAGCAAACAGGAUUAGAUACCCUGGUAGUCCACGCUGUAAACGAUGAAUACUAGGUGUGGGGGGACUGACCCCCUCCGUGCCGCAGUUAACACAAUAAGUAUUCCACCUGGGGAGUACGGCCGCAAGGUUGAAACUCAAAUGAAUUGACGGGG